rnacentral:tRNA from 1 species
GGCCCCGUCGUCUAGCGGCCUAGGACGGAGCCCUCUCACGGCUCAAACCCGGGUUCGAAUCCCGGCGGGGUCA